rnacentral:rRNA from 1 species
UACGUAGGGUGCGAGCGUUGUCCGGAAUUAUUGGGCGUAAAGAGCUCGUAGGCGGUCUGUCGCGUCGGAUGUGAAAACACGGGGCUCAACCCCGUGCCUGCAUUCGAUACGGGCAGACUAGAGUUCGGUAGGGGAGACUGGAAUUCCUGGUGUAGCGGUGGAAUGCGCAGAUAUCAGGAAGAACACCAACGGCGAAGGCAGCUCGCUGGGACGGUACUGACGCUGAGACGCGAAAGCGUGGGGAGCGAACAGG